AUUGAACGCUGGCGGCAGGCCUAACACAUGCAAUUCGAGCGGAGCGGCGGACGGGUGAGUAAUGCCUAGGAAUCUGCCUGGUCGUGGGGGAUAACGUCCGGAAACGGGCGCUAAUACCGCAUACUAUCAGAUGAGCCUCGGUCGGAUUAGCUAGUUGGUGGGGUAAAGGCCUACCAAGGUGACGAUCCGUAACCGGUCUGAGCGGAUGAUCAGUCACACGGGAAAUGAGAUACGGCCCAGACUCCUACGGGAGGCAGCAGUGGGGGAGAUGGCACAAUGAGAGAAAGACUGAUGCAGCGGCGCCGCGUGGGGGAGGAAGGCUUUAGGGUUGUAAACCUCUUUCGCUAUCGAACGGGUAGGUGGAGAAGAAGAGCCGGCUAACUACGUGCCAGCAGCCGCGGUAAUUC
rnacentral:rRNA from 1 species